ensembl:lncRNA
CAAUGAUGUCAACACCAGUCAAGAAUCCUCCCUCUGGGCAAGCACAGUUUUCACCAGGCCUCAAUACCAGUGCCAGUAGCCUUGAAGUUGGUGAAACCGACGAAAGCUAUCAGCCUGAGUGAACCCUCACCACCACAUCAGCGUCGUCAUCAGAAGAUGACGGUGUAAAGGACUGGCGUGAAAAGAAGAUUAUUGUCAAUGAAUCCAGUCUCAUGUCACUAUUCAAAUUCAAACAUACUGGUGACAAUAGAUGCCCUUUAUCUCUCACAUAUUAACGGCCAAGUUAACGGCAAUACACUAUGGGGGAAGUGGACAUGUCUGCCAGGCUGCAAGGCAUCUACACAACAAACAAGUCAGUCGAUUGGCCUGGCCUCAUUUCCACGACACUAAUGAACAUGUUUUAAUUAGCCCUAUCCAUUUUCUCUUUUUAAUUGCGCACAGGGCCACUCGAGCUCUUUCAUAGUGCUCUCCUGAAAUACCUCCCCAAACGCCAGGCCUUCUCAUAUGAUGGAAUGAGGGAGAGGUGCUACCUCACUAUCCUAGAGCCCAAUGAAAACAUUGUGAGAAGGAAACAAGCCACCACAGUAAGUGGGUCCCAUGGUGCUGUUGCUGGAGGAGUCGGAGGAACCGGGGCCGUCCCAUGGACAUAAUGAAGGAUGGACCACGGACUGGAACAUGGCCGCCCAUUCAUUCCUGUACAAACUGCUCAGUGGCGCAGGG